rnacentral:rRNA from 1 species
GACGAACCGUGCAAACGUUAUUCGGAAUCACUGGGCAUAAAGGGCGCGUAGGCGGCUUUCUAAGUCAGGGGUGAAAUCCGGCAGCUCAACUGUCGCAGUGCCUUUGAUACUGGAGAGCUCGAGGGAGGUAGGGGUCUGUGGAACUUCCGGUGGAGCGGUGAAAUGCGUUGAUAUCAGGAGGAACACCGGUGGCGAAGGCGGUUCUCUGGGCAUGACCUGACGCUGAGGAGCGAAAGUGUGGGGAGCGAACAGG